GGCCCAGUGGUGUAAUGGCAACAUACUCUGAGUGUUACGUUCUAGAAACCCCAAGCCAUCUUGCAGGUUUCUAGUUGAAAUUCGAGAGCUGCAGGUUCGAUUCUUGCCUGGGAUA